rnacentral:rRNA from 1 species
AGCGAACGCUGGCGGCAUGCCUAACACAUGCAAGUCGCACGGGUCGGCUUCGGCCGGUCAGUGGCGGACGGGUGCGGACCGCGUAGGGAUCUGUCCUCUGGUGGGGGAUAACCGCGGGAAACUGCGGCUAAGACCGCAUGGAGCGCCGGUGUGAGAGCCGGCUUCAAAGGCGCGCAUCGCGAGGUGUGUGUCGCCGGGGGGUGAGCCUGCGUCCGAUUAGCUGUUGGGCGGGGGAGUGGCCCACCAGGGCGUCGGUGGGUAGCUGGUCUGAGAGUGUGACCAGCCACGCUGGGAAUGAGACACGGCCCAGACUCCUACGGAAGGGAGCAGUGGGGAAUAUUGGACAAUGGGCGCAAGCGUGAUCAAGCCAUGCCGCGUGGGUGAAGAAGGUCUUCGGAUUGUAAAGCCCUUUCGGCGGGGACGAUGGUGACGGUACCCGGAGAAGAAGCCCCGGCUAACUUCGUG